UUUAUGAUUUCGAUUUCUUAUUUUAGCAAUUGCAUAGUACUUCAUGUUCAUAAUAAAAUCCAAUUUUGCUUAUGAAAAUAGAACAAACUUAGAGAAUAAUUGAAAAUUAAGUAGAAUUAAUUGGUUUUUUUAAUCACACUUAGAGUUUGUUUUCUCAUGAAAAUUGUUAGAAAUAAUCCAUCAUUUUUUCUCUCAUUGAAUUGUGCUUAAGGCUUUGAUUCUUGAAUAAAUUGGAUUUUGUUUCCUUCAUUGCCCUUUCACAUUACUUGAAGUAAUUG
rnacentral:lncRNA from 1 species